rnacentral:rRNA from 1 species
AUGGCCUGCUUCCCUUGCAACCCACUUCCCCACCUUCCCCCCGGAACUGCAAUCAUCCCUCCUGGUCCCCUUCGUGCUCGCCGUGGAUAUGUGGUUCUUGGAGGUGAGCUUCCGAUGGUGUGUGACGAGUGGGCAAUCGCCAUGCUCAUCCCCGAGGUAUCUACUGAGGAGUUUCAUGGCGCCAUUGCUCUGAUCACCAACUUCUUGGAGGGGUGUGGAUGGCACAUCAACUACACCUCUCGCUGUGGUAUGUGCACUGCUUUGAUUCAGUUUACUACUGCCUUCUCGCGUGAUACUGUUGUCAAUCUUACUCCGUUUCAGAUUGGGGACUCUGUUCUUAGAAUUAGCAGACAUGAUAGAGGUAUUAACUACCACAUUACAUUCACGCACGAUAUUUGGAUCUUACUCAUGAACUAUCCACUUGAAUGUUGGGAUGUUGGGGUUAUAAGCCGCGUUGUUUCUCCUUAUGGCCGCUUUCUGAUCUAGAACAAAGACCCAAGGGACAAGUCGAGGGUUAUUGUUAAGCUCAGGGUUAUGAAUGUGGACACUAUACCCAUUAGUUUAGUUGUGUUGAGAAACCAUGAUGAUGUGGGCUAUGGUGACUCAUGGAUCUGCCCAAUCUAUAUUCUGUCUCGGGAGCUGAUUGGUCAGCAAGGGGGUGAUGAGGAUCCACUUCCAUCUGAUGGUGGAAAUCCUCAACCUCUCCCUCAUGUUCAUGGAGGUUUUUGGCAUGAUGAGGUUUUGGGAAAUAUACCUAUGGACCAGGUUGUUAUUAACCCCCACAAUGAGAAUCUUGGUGCACCUUAUGAAGAUGUUCAUGCUGUCCAUAAUGACAAUGUGAAUCAUGCUACUGAACAGAUGGCUGCUGCUGCUGACCUAGUGUUGUUGGUCAUGUGGAGGCACCUGCCAUGGAGGAAACACAGACACCAAUCCAGAUACACACUAACACACACUAUGUUGCUCCUCAUGAGACACUUGGGCCUGAUUAUAUCCCAAUUAAUCCUACGCCUUCUCAGCCCAGCUCACAGAAAGCUCCUAGCCCCGAGUUUAUGCCUAAAAACUGCAGCAUGA